GCCCAGAUGGUGAAAUUGGUAGACACGCCGGAUUUAGGUUCCGGUGCCGCAAUGUGUGUAGGUUCGAGUCCUAUUCUGGGCA
rnacentral:tRNA from 1 species